rnacentral:rRNA from 1 species
CAAUCCUGGCGACGAGCGGCGAACGGGUGAGUAAUGCUUGGGAAUCUGCCCAUUAGUGGGGAACAACCAGCCGAAAGGUUGGCUAAUACCGCAUACGCCCUACGGGGGAAAGCGGGGGAUCGUAAGACCUCGCGCUAAUGGAUGAGCCCAAGUCGGAUUAGCUUGUUGGUAGGGUAACGGCCUACCAAGGCGACAAUCCGUAGCUGGUCUGAGAGGACGACCAGCCACACUGGGACUGAGACACGGCCCAGACUCCUACGGGAGGCAGCAGUGGGGAAUAUUGGACAAUGGGGGAAACCCUGAUCCAGCGACGCCGCGUGUGUGAAGAAGGCCUGCGGGUUGUAAAGCACUUUUAGUGGGGAUGAAAAGCCUAGGGAUAACACCUCUGGGUCUUGACCUAACCCACAGAAAAAGCACCGGCUAACUCUGUGCCAGCAGCCGCGGUAAU